AAACUUUCAACAACGGAUCUCUUGGUUCUGGCAUCGAUGAAGAACGCAGCGAAAUGCGAUAAGUAAUGUGAAUUGCAGAAUUCAGUGAAUCAUCGAAUCUUUGAACGCACAUUGCGCCCCCUGGUAUUCCGGGGGGCAUGCCUGUUCGAGCGUCGUU
rnacentral:rRNA from 1 species